GUUUAUCACCACACAACCCUGAAUGUACUCAAUCUCAUCUGUUCUUGGAAGCUAAGAAGAGUAGGACCUGGUUAGUAUUUAGAUGGGAGAGAUCAAGUGUAAAGCACAGAAGAUUGGAACCA
ensembl:rRNA 5S_rRNA 5S ribosomal RNA